rnacentral:rRNA from 1 species
GAUGAACGCUGGCGGCGUGCUUAACACAUGCAAGUCGAACGAUGAAGCCCAGCUUGCUGGGUGGAUUAGUGGCGAACGGGUGAGUAACACGUGAUUAACCUGCCCUUUACCCUGGGAUAAGCCUUGGAAACUGUGUCUAAUACCGGAUAGGAACGUCCACCGCAUGGUGGGUGUUGGAAAGAUUUAUCGGUCAUGGAUGGACUCGCGGCCUAUCAGCUUGUUGGUGAGGUAAUGGCUCACCAAGGCGACGACGGGUAGCCGGCCUGAGAGGGUGACCGGCCAAACUGGGACUGAGACACGGCCCAGACUCCUACGGGAGGCAGCAGUGGGGAAUAUUGCACAAUGGGCGAAAGCCUGAUGCAGCGAAGCCGCGUGAGGGAUGACGGCCUUCGGGUUGUAAACCUCUUUCAGUAGGGAAGAAGCGAAAGUGACGGUACCUGCAGAAGAAGCACCGGCUAACUACGUG